rnacentral:rRNA from 1 species
UAAUACGAAGGGGGCUAGCGUUGUUCGGAAUUACUGGGCGUAAAGCGCGCGCAGGCGGCUAUCCAAGUCAGUGGUGAAAACCCGGAGCUCAACUCCGGAACUGCCAUUGAAACUGUUUAGCUUGAGGACGAGAGAGGUGAGUGGAAUUCCCCAGUGUAGAGGUGAAAUUCGUAGAUAUUGGGAAGAACACCGGUGGCGAAGGCGGCUCACUGGCUCGUAUCUGACGCUCAGGCGCGAUAGCGUGGGGAUCAAACAGGAUUAGAUACCCAGGUAGUCCACGCCGUAAACGAUGAAUGCUAGCCGUUGGGUAGCUUGCUAUUCAGUGGCGCAGCUAACGCAUUAAGCAUUCCGCCUGGGGAGUACGGCCGCAAGGUUGAAACUCAAAGGAAUUGACGGGGGCCCGCACAAGCGGUGGAGCAUGUGGUUUAAUUCGACGCAACGCGCAGAACCUUACCAGGGUUUGACAUCCUGCGACCGCUCCUUAAUAGGAGUUUUCCCGCAAGGGACGC